GACAAUUUGGACUCUUUAUGGUUUAUGGACUUGGUGCUGGUUGCAUUUCUGAGAUCAGAAUCUUCGUGUUUGGUGUCGGCGACAGGAUGAGCUCUGGGAAUCUGGGCAAAUAAAAUCAAACUCAUGGGAGAAAGCUUUGGUUCUGCUUUCGGACGGAAGUGUUGUGACAGUUCCCACAAAAUAUCUUCUACCAACUAUUCCUCAGAUACUUGACUAAGUUGAUGAUCUUGCACAACUAAGUUAUUUGAACGAGCCUUCAGUGCUUCACAAUCUUCGGUAUAGAUAUUUACAAGAUAAUAUAUAUAGAAUGGCUGGCCUCUGUCAAUCUAUUUAAAAAUGUCCAGCUAUAAGGGGAUGAUAGAGAAAGAAGGUUU